rnacentral:lncRNA from 1 species
UGGCUGAUGCAACCCCAGGGGUAUCAAACACUGAGCAUCCAUCUUAAAGACGAACCAGCCAUGUGAGGGCAGUUCCCACCACUGUGAAAUUUUCCUUAUAUAGUCCUUUUGUUGUAUUUUUAUCAAGGUUUAAUAAACCUUUUUAAAUUUUCAAUGUGAGCAGUUGCUUCUCACAUGGGCAUUCAGGAGCACAGCCUGGCUCUCUGCUCCCACAGCUGACUCUGCUCCCACCUGGGUGCACAUGCUCCUCUGUCCUGAAGGUUUAUAACACAAGAUCCUGGACUGCAGCUCUAAGCACAAGUUCCCCAGUCAGACCCAGGCCUGUGGGUGUUCAGGUGUGAGAGCCCCAGUGAGCUGGAGCUGGAGCUGCAGCGUGAUUGCCAGUGGCUGCCCAGGCUUGGGAUGCAGCUCUGAGCAUUCUGUUCCUCACCAAACAAAGCGUGGCAUUUCUUUACUGUGGGGAUGUCCAUUCAUUGUUUAUCUUCCUACUUCAAGGCUUAAUACAGCAAACACUGAAAAUGUAUCAGUUGGUCCUCUUGCUGCCUACCUCCCCACCCUCACUUCCUCCAGCUAUUUGCUUUGAGUUAUUUGCUCAGGAUUUGUUUUCCCUCUGAUUUUACAAGUUUGCCUUGCAAAGCAAAAAACCUGCUAUUUUGUUCUCUCUGGUAUUUGGCAGGAAAAUAAAAAGAACACAAAGAAGAAAAGGAUAAUAAUUGUUUUUUUUCCAAUGAUUUAGCACACAAGAGUUCUUUUUAGUGCUACUGUUGCUGCUGUGUUAAAGCAUCUUAUUUUCUUAGGCGUGCCAAGAGCUGCUGUGGAGAGGAGAAAACAGGGUGUCCCUUAACUGUGCUUUCUGGCCUGGCAGUGGGCUCUGAGCUGAGACCUGCCCAUCCACCUGGUGCUCAUUUGCAAGGCUCCCUCACAUGUUAUUUUGAUCCAGGUGAUGGAAUUGGACAGAGCAGCUUUUGUGCAGGGAUUUGCAAAGCUCAUCUCUGUGCUGUUCUACUCCAGUGGAAGUUGAAACAGGUUGGGAUAACCUUCAUCUCCUCAGGACAUGUGAAAUUGUUGGUAAAAGUUCCCUGGCAACUUCUUCCAGUUAAGUGGGGAAGGACUGGUUUGACAGCAGGGUUGGUUCAGGGUUGUAUCUGAGCAGUUUGAUCCUUUAAUUUGGGUUACACACUUCCUAGUUUCAGCCAUGAGGCUUGCCUCUUCUUUGUUGUUUUUUAUUUUUUCUUCCAGCACCAGCUGAAAGCAGGUGACAGAGGGAACACUGAGUAAGAAGGAAAUGCAGCAAGGCCAGCGAGAUCAACUCUCCUAAAGGACUCUUCUUAGGGCUAGAAGGAAGCAGCUUGGGGAUACAGGAUGUUUUUUCACCUUUCUCUCUCAUAUGUUGUCCUUCCCUGGCCUCUCCUGCUUGCACAACAAAAAGGAGGCCCUCACCUUCCUCUUACUGCCCAGUGGGUGAAAAAAGCUUGGUCACAGAAUAAAAGAAGAAACAGGAAGAGGAAAAUAUAUAUC